AGAGUUUGAUCCUGGCUCAGGAUGGACGCUAGCUACAGGCUUAACACAUGCAAGUCGAGGGGAAACGAUAUUGGAAGCUUGCUUCCGAUAGGCGUCGACCGGCGCACGGGUGAGUAACGCGUAUCCAACCUGCCCAUCACUUGGGAAUAACCUUGCGAAAGUAAGACUAAUGCCCAAUGACAUUUAUAGAAGGCAUCGGAAAUGAAUUAAAGAUUUAUCGGCGAUGGAUGGGGAUGCGUCUGAUUAGCUUGUUGGCGGGGUAACGGCCCACCAAGGCGACGAUCAGUAGGGGUUCUGAGAGGAGGGUCCCCCACAUUGGAACUGAGACACGGUCCAAACUCCUACGGGAGGCAGCAGUGAGGAAUAUUGGUCAAUGGGCGAGAGCCUGAACCAGCCAAGUAGCGUGCAGGAUGACGGCCCUAUGGGUUGUAAACUGCUUUUAUAGGGGAAUAAAGUGAGCCACGUGUGGUUUUUUGCAUGUACCCUAUGAAUAAGGACCGGCUAAUUCCGUGCCAGCAGCCGCGGUAAUACGGAAGGUCCGGGCGUUAUCCGGAUUUAUUGGGUUUAAAGGGAGCGUAGGCCGGAGAUUAAGCGUGUUGUGAAAUGUAGAUGCUCAACAUCUGCACUGCAGCGCGAACUGGUUUCCUUGAGUACGCAUAAAGUGGGCGGAAUUCGUGGUGUAGCGGUGAAAUGCUUAGAUAUCACGAAGAACUCCGAUUGCGAAGGCAGCUCACUGGGGCGCAACUGACGCUGAAGCUCGAAAGCGCGGGUAUCGAACAGGAUUAGAUACCCUGGUAGUCCGCGCGGUAAACGAUGGAUGCCCGCUGUUGGGCCAACUGGUUCAGCGGCCAAGCGAAAGCAUUAAGCAUCCCACCUGGGGAGUACGCCGGCAACGGUGAAACUCAAAGGAAUUGACGGGGGCCCGCACAAGCAGUGGAGUAUGUGGUUUAAUUCGACGCAACGCGAAGAACCUUACCAAGUCUUGACAUCCUGCGACGCACAUAGAAAUAUGUGUUUCCUUCGGGACGCAGAGACAGGUGGUGCAUGGUUGUCGUCAGCUCGUGUCGUGAGAUGUUGGGUUAAGUCCCGCAACGAGCGCAACCCUUAUGGUCAGUUACUACGCAAGAGGACUCUGGCCAGACUGCCGUUGACGAAACGGAGGAAGGUGGGGAUGACGUCAAAUCAUCAUGCCCUUUAUGACUUGGGCUACACACGUACUACAAUGGCGUUAAACAAAGAGAAGCAAGACCGCGAGGUGGAGCAAAACUCAGAAACAACGUCCCAGUUCGGACUGCAGGCUGCAACUCGCCUGCACGAAGUCGGUAUUGCUAGUAAUCGCAGAUCAGCAUGCUGCGGUGAAUACGUUCCCGGGCCUUGUACACACCGCCCGUCACACCAUGAGAGCCGGGGGGACCCGAAGUCGGUAGUCUAACCGCAAGGAGGACGCCGCCGAAGGUAAAACUGGUGAUUGGGGUGAAGUCGUAACAAGGUA
rnacentral:rRNA from 1 species